GAUGAACGCUGACAGAAUGCUUAACACAUGCAAGUCAACUUGAACUUCGGUUUGGGUGGCGGACGGGUGAGUAACGCGUAAAGAACUUGCCUCACAGAUAGGGACAACAUUUGGAAACGAAUGCUAAUACCUGAUAUUAUGAUUAUAUGGCAUCGUAUAAUUAUGAAAGCUAUAUGCGCUGUGAGAGAGCUUUGCGUCCCAUUAGCUAGUUGGAGAGGUAACGGCUCACCAAGGCGAUGAUGGGUAGCCGGCCUGAGAGGGUGAUCGGCAACAAGGGGACUGAGACACGGCCCUUACUCCUACGGGAGGCAACAGUGGGGAAUAUUGGACAAUGGACCAAGAGUCUGAUCCAGAAAUUCUGUGUGCACGAUGAAGUUUUUCGGAAUGUAAAGUGCUUUCAGUUGGGAAGAAAAAAAUGACGGUACCAACAGAAGAAGUGACGGCUAAAUACGUG
rnacentral:rRNA from 1 species